rnacentral:rRNA from 1 species
GAUGAACGCUGGCGGCGUGCUUAACACAUGCAAGUCGAACGGAAAGGCCAGUGCUUGCACUGGUGCUCGAGUGGCGAACGGGUGAGUAACACGUGGGUGAUCUGCCCCGCACUUUGGGAUAAGCCUGGGAAACUGGGUCUAAUACCAGAUAGGACCAUGCUUUGGAUGGUGUGGUGGAAAGUUUUUUCGGUGUGGGAUGAGCUUGCGGCCUAUCAGCUUGUUGGUGGGGUAAUGGCCUACCAAGGCGUCGACGGGUAGCCGGCCUGAGAGGGUGUACGGCCACAUUGGGACUGAGAUACGGCCCAGACUCCUACGGGAGGCAGCAGUGGGGAAUAUUGCACAAUGGGCGCAAGCCUGAUGCAGCGACGCCGCGUGGGGGAUGACGGCCUUCGGGUUGUAAACUCCUUUCGCAACUGACGAAGCUUUUUGUGACGGUAGGUUGAGAAGAAGCACCGGCUAACUACGUG